UAGUGCGCGUACGCUAUCUGAUCAUCUCUUUCAUAAGACCACCAUUGUCAUCUUCAACCUCUAGCUUCGCGAAAUCUGCACCAAAUCGAGUGGUUCCUGGGUGUAACUUGCUUAGUUUUUCAAGGAGAACAAAACCUCAGUGUUCGUUUCUUACGAUUCUCACUCGUUUGGGAGGAAUCAGAGAACAAAGUGACGAACCCUAAGUUUUAAAUUUGGGGGUUUUCGUUUUUGGGUUUCCAGAAGUUCAAUUUAGGUCCAAGCAAGUGUUUUAAGUAACAAAGGCUUUGUUGCUAGCAGGGUUGGAUCAGUUGGUGCAGCAGGCAAGACCUCCUGACUAUGGUGAAUGGCCUGCUUAUUAUCAGGCAAUCUUUGACCAGAAUACCUGAGGCUUUGCGCAAUUAAGAUGGGAUGCUCAACGAAAUUAUAGUAGGCAGGAGCUUUGGAACCGCAUUCAUGAAUAUACUCACCAAAGGGAGAUCAAUCACAGGGCUGAGGAUAAUCGACAGAGGCGGUUGCACACAGCAUGGCGUACAGGUCAGCCGGUGGUGGAAAACCCACCACACAUUGAUUACACUUCCCUUCCGCCUUAUGAUGGUUCAGUUGACUACCCAGUGCCUCCGGUUCACCAUUCAGAGUGGGUGGACCCACACUAAGAGCGCGCUCAAAAUCAGGAGGAAGGUCGAGUAGUAGGAGCAUUUGGAUUCGGGGAAUUUGGGGACACGUUGACGUCCAUCUUUGGACCUCCUCAACAUCGUUAUCACUGAGCACUCGCUGAUCGGUGUCGAUCAGGUCCAUGUGUUCUUCCUAUCUCUUGUGUUUUGUAUUUUUCUUAUAUUGUGUGUUGGGUGGUGGUUUAGACCAUAGGCGGUUUGGCGGUGUUUUGUUUUGUUUGUUUUAUUUGUGUAGGAUUUAUGUGGUUGUCUCUUUGGUGGUGUAAAACAUUAUACUAUGUGUUGGGUAUGGUAUUAGUGGGUUUUCGUCUUGUGUAGAUGGAUGGGUGGUUGGAAUGAGUCGCUUGAAUGGGAUAAAUUGCAUGUUGGUAAAUCACACAUUUUGACCAUAAAACCUAUACAUUGGGGACAAUGUAUCCCAAGUGUGGGGAUGAGGGAAGUUAUUGAAAAAUUGAAAAUUUUUAAAAUUUUGUCUUAAAAGCGGUCUAAUCGGGCGUGAAAGCGUCUUUUUCAGUACAUCUAAUCGUCUCUGCUUGUGGUGCGCGGGUCCUUAGUCAUGGUCUAAUCUUACAGAAUAGUAAUAUGAGCCGUUUUCAGCAGGUGUUUUUAGAAAAAAAAAUGUUUAGAACUUGCCUAACUAGGGCUGACAAGUUGUUGGUAAUAAAUGCAUGCACACAUCGGUAGCCUUAUUCCCCACGUUAGUGAGAUUUUGAGCCUACUAGAAUGUUAGUUGAAUUGAGAUUUAUAUAUUCAUUUGUUGAGAGUAGGCCGUAUGUUUCUCUGUUUUAGAACUUGUGUGAUUCGAUACAUGCUGAGACUCUGGAUUUGAUAUAUGCACAUAAAUGAUAAAGGCACAUUAGGAUCCCCUUUUUUCUUUUACACCUUUGAUAACCGAUGACCCAAAAAUUAACCAUAGUAGCCAACUUUGAGCCUUAUACCUGUUCGUUUGUCAAACCCAAAUCAUUAUCCAAACCGACCCAUUACAUUACCAACUGUAAAUGACAAUCUAUGUGUUCAGUUGUUUAUGUUGUGAAAAAAAAAAGAAAAAAGAGAAAAUUCAGCCAAGUAAAUAGGCCAAAUGGUCGAAAUAGGAGGCUGAAGAAAAAUAUAUAUUUGUUAUUUAUUAAGUUUAGUGUGAAUAAAGAUUGUCACUUGUUGGUAUCUCCCUUUUCUUUUAGCCACUUAAAAUGGCCAAAAAUUCACCACCUUUACCCUAAGCCCAAAACCCGUAAGUCCUUUAGAUAUGUGCGUUGUCUAUGUGAUAGAGUGGAGGUGUGAUUGUCAUACAAGCAUAUGAAUACAGAGUUUCAUAUUCGGUUAAUGAGUGUUUCAUACUAGCGCAUUACAUGCUAGUUCAGAUACUAAACCGAGGGGAGCGACAAAUUGUGAGGGGUGUGUUGUAUGAAAAUAAAAACCGGGAGCAUGUUAGGCUUAGUUGGUCGAGUUCUGUUUCAAAAAUGUGUACUGUGUUUGCUUGCUGAAUUAACACAUCUAAUGCUAAUCAAGGAAUGGGGUAUGACUUUGGACCCUAGCUAAUGCAUAGUGGGGGCGUUUGGGGUAUUCGUUAUUUGUUCGUGAUAACGUUUCGAAUGGAUUUGCUUGAGGGCAAGCAAAGGUAAAGUGUGGGGAUGUGAUGGAUGGUAUUUGGAUUGUGAUUUAUAUGUGUUUAAUGUCCAAUCUUAUGCAUAUUUGAGUGUUUAUAUGUGUGGAAUUGGAUAACUAUGAGAAAAUGAUGCUUUGCAGGUUAAAUAUGAAGAUUAGAGGUGUUUUGGAGAAUGCAAAUGGAGAGAAAAUAAAGAUAUCAAAGCAUGAUAUGAUAGAGAAUUGGAUUACAAAGACGUGGGCGCAAACGGGGAAGAAAACAGAGUUAAAACGAAGAAGUUAUGAAGAAAACAGUUUUGUGAAUAAGCUGCCGACAGAAGCCUACGGUUUUGACAGUAGCCUACGGUUCAGGGGUUACGGAAAUCAGGUUUAAUGUGCGAAAAUUAGGUUUUUAUGGGGAUCUUUUAUUCCAUUCGACCUGUGACGAUUUUGGGGAGACCAUUAGGGGAUUUUUGGGCAUUCUUCCACCAUUCCACACCUUCCAAUCAUCUUCUAAUCAUCAAUCAUGCAAUUUCUCAUCAAGAUUGAAGAUCAAAUCAAGAGCAUGAGCGGCUAAACCACCCAUGAUCAUCUUCGGGACUAGGGUUUGUGUUAGGAACCGAGUUGACCUAGUUUUACAAACUUUUGGAUUGAGAUUUGACUAAUCAUUCGGUUAGUUUAUCUUUAUUGUUUAUUUGUUUUUGAUUAAACAUUGUUGGAUUAUCAUUGCAUACUCGUUCAUCAGUUA